GGCUUGUUGAUUAUAAUUUCAAGUCGGGCCUGCCCAAUGAGAUGUUUUAAAUGGCCGCAGUAUACUAACUGUGCGAAGGUAGCAUAAUCACUAGUUUUUUAAUUGGAAACUUGAAUGAAAGGUUUGAUGAAAAAAUUUCUGUCUCUAGAAAAAUUUUUUAGAAUUUUAUUUUUAAGUGAAAAAGCUUAAAUGUUUAUAGAAGACGAGAAGACCCUAUAGAGUUUUAUAUUUAUUUUAGAAAGUUUUACUAUGGUUUUAAAAAAUUUUGAUUUAAGUAUUUAAUUGGGGAGAUGAAAAAAUUAAUUAAACUUUUUUUGUAUAUAAACAUUUAUUUGUGAAUUUUUGAUCCUUGCUUUAAGAUUAAAAGAUUAAAUUACCUUAGGGAUAACAGCGUAAUUUUUUUUAGAGUUCUUAUCAAAAAGAAAGUUUGCGACCUCGAUGUUGGAUUAAAAUUUAUUA
rnacentral:rRNA from 1 species